rnacentral:rRNA from 1 species
CCUGGUGACAAUAGCGAAGGGGUCACACCCGUUCCCAUCCCGAACACGGCAGUUAAGCCCUUCAGCGCAGAUGGUACUUGGCCACGAGGCCUGGGAGAGUAUGUCGUUGCCAGGA